rnacentral:rRNA from 1 species
AGUGAACGCUGGCGGUAGGCCUAACACAUGCAAGUCGAACGGCAGCACAGUAAGAGCUUGCUCUUACGGGUGGCGAGUGGCGUACGGGUGAGGAAUACAUCGGAAUCUACUUUUUCGUGGGGGAUAACGUAGGGAAACUUACGCUAAUACCGCAUACGACCUACGGGUGAAAGCAGGGGAGCUUCGGACCUUGCGCGAUUGAAUGAGCCGAUGUCGGAUUAGCUAGUUGGCGGGGUAAAGGCCCACCAAGGCGACGAUCCGUAGCUGGUCUGAGAGGAUGAUCAGCCACACUGGAACUGAGACACGGUCCAGACUCCUACGGGAGGCAGCAGUGGGGAAUAUUGGACAAUGGGCGCAAGCCUGAUCCAGCCAUACCGCGUGGGUGAAGAAGGCCUUCGGGUUGUAAAGCCCUUUUGUUGGGAAAGAAAAGCAGCAGGUUAAUACCCCGCUGUUCUGACGGUACCCAAAGAAUAAGCACCGGCUAACUUCGUG